AUUGAACGCUGGCGGCAGGCUUAACACAUGCAAGUCGGACGAGUGGCGGACGGGUGAGUAAUGCAUGGGAAUCUAGCUUAUAGAGGGGGAUAACUACGGGAAACUUUAGCUAAUACCGCGUACCAUCGGAUGAGCCCAAGUGGGAUUAGGUAGUUGGUGAGGUAAAGGCUCACCAAGCCGACGAUCUCUAGCUGGUCUGAGAGGAUGACCAGCCACACUUGGACUGGGACACGGCCCAGACUCCGUCGGGAGGGAGCAGUGGGGAAUUUUGCGCAAUGGGGGCAACCCUAAGCAGCCAUGCCGCGGGAAUGAAGAAGGCCCUCGGGUUGGAAAGUUCUUUCGGGAGCGAGGCGUUAACUACAGAAGAAGCAACGGCUAAAUCCGUGGCAGGCGCCGGGGUAAUAC
rnacentral:rRNA from 1 species